AGUGUACGCUGGCGGUAGGCCUAACACAUGCAAGUCGAACGGCAGCACAGUAAGAGCUUGCUCUUACGGGUGGCGAGUGGCGGACGGGUGAGGAAUACAUCGGAAUCUACUUUUUCGUGGGGGAUAACGUAGGGAAACUUACGCUAAUACCGCAUACGACCUACGGGUGAAAGCAGGGGAUCUUCGGACCUUGCGCGAUUGAAUGAGCCGAUGUCGGAUUAGCUAGUUGGCGGGGUAAAGGCCCACCAAGGCGACGAUCCGUAGCUGGUCUGAGAGGAUGAUCAGCCACACUGGAACUGAGACACGGUCCAGACUCCUACGGGAGGCAGCAGUGGGGAAUAUUGGACAAUGGGCGCAAGCCUGAUCCAGCCAUACCGCGUGGGUGAAGAAGGCCUUCUGGUUGUAAAGCCCUUUUGUUGGGAAAGAAAAGCAGCAGGUUAAUACCCCGCUGUUCUGACGGUACCCAAAGAAUAAGCACCGGCUAACUUCGUG
rnacentral:rRNA from 1 species